AGUUGGCCGCGGCCGCGAAGCCGGGGGCGAGGGGGAGGGCCGGCAGGUGCGCGGGCCUGGAAGAGAAACUGGCAGUUGUUGUGAAUCUCUGCUUCGCCCAUCUUGCCCCCUCCCCACCACCGCCCUGGCAUAGGAAGAAAUGGAACAAGGGAAGAAUUCCUCUAAUUUUAGGAUUGUGUUCUUGAAGGCUGGAGUAAAUAUAGAACGACUGCAAAUACAGGUCUACACCGUGCAGGUAAACGACCCACCGGUUCAAGUCCCCCUUUUAAAGCAUUUGCCAUGAGAGUGGAUGGAAGACUUUGUUUGUUCCCUUAACAAAGGUGUAUGACUAGUUAACCAAGAUGUGGAGUAAAGCAAUAGGAAAAGAGCAGGUAUUGCUGCCUAAGUUUUGAGCUAACCAGAGAAAAUCACCAUCACAGUCACCAAAUCAAAUAGCUGCAUGGGACCUAAGAGGUUGAACUUUGUCUCCCCUUCACAUGUUGAAGUCCUGAACUCGAGUACCUCAAAAUGUGACUGUAUUUGGAGAUCAGGCCUUUAAAGAGUUUUUGUCUUCUGUGAAAGUGCCUCCCACCAUCAAGGCUGCAAAUGUUCACUCCACUCAAGUUUAACAAGGGCAUCGGCCUUGCUGAUGGGACCAGUCGCUUGCUGAUGGGACCAGCAAGAGAGUCAGCUGAGAGGGUGAGGGUGAGAGCUUCUCAUCGAGGCUUUACUUCUUUCUUCAAGAGAUGAAAGGGGAAACAUGCUGUGCUUUUGGUUACAGUUGUGUGAGGACCCAAUGUCAGGGGCAAUGGCAGCUUUUUUUCAAUUUUGAGGAGAAGAGCUUGAAAACAAAGUCUAACAAGCUGAGAGGUAGAGAACUGAAAACAACCUGAGACCUUGAUGGGAUCCUCAAGCUGCUGAAUCAACCUGUCAUGGGACUUCCAUGUAACCCAAUAAAUGUCUUCAUUGUUUUAAGACACUUUUACUUGGAAAUUAUGUAACUUGUAGUUGGAAACAUCCUAACUAAUACAUACUCUAAUAAUAUAGACUUCUUGAACCAGUCUAUAAGGACACAGUGUAAAUCAAAGCAAACAAAUGUAAUUAAGUUAGGGUAAAACUUGCUAAAAUGUCCUGAAUUGUUAUUACUUUUUUCAUCCAGUUUUACAGACUUUACUUAAUUUCAGGCAGAUAGACCCUUAUCAGCAAAAUAUGAUCAAUGACAUUAGCAAAACUUAGAAGUACAUUAGUUGAAUUAUUUAUACUUUCCACAAACUCUACUGAAACGUGACCAACCUAGAAACUAUGGUUUUGUUAUAGAGACUACUCAGAAGAGAUAGACUUUCUUGUGUCAAUUUUCUUCAAAAAAUAAAGUAUUAUUUUAUUAUAAAUUAAACAUAAA